UUUAGGUCUGUUGAGGUAGAGGUCUUUUCUCAUGAACCUCAGCUCUGGGAAGCAGAUGACAGCUUUAAGUUCCAGGAUCACCCUUUGUGCCUUGGCCAUCCUGAGCAAAUGGAGCCUUUCCCCAGCUUCUAAGAAAGGGGAAGAGAGCUCCCCUGAAGAGACCUUUUCCCUGAGCAAGGACCAAAAACAGGUGCAAGCAGGAAGCAUGGGGGAUCCCUAGAAUUAGACUGAAAGUAAAUACCCCUUUUUUAGGGGGGUAUUGAGAAGUCUCAGGGCUUCUACUGCUGGUUUCAUACAGACUGGUGGGAUGGUGGUGCUCACAGUUGCUGCCCGACUGUCCAGACUGAUAAGGUCUUCUCAGUGUGUGCACACAGGUGUCAGCUAGUGCCCCGCUGGCUGGUGUAUGUUCAUUCCCAGAGAUAUGUUUCUCACGGUGUUGACCAGAUUUCUUGGAAGGUAUGACAGCUGCAAACAGUAUCAAUGACAUCUGGGCAGAUUUCACAGCGAAAUGGGAGAUGGGAGAAUCAGUCCAGCAUCUGGUGUGACUGCAGUUGAAGCCAAGUUGGCAAACUUGGUUCAGUCUGAUUUCAUUUCACUCUUGGCCACGUUCUAGUUUGGCGUGGAGAUUACUGAUGAAGAGUUUGAGCUGCUACUUGACAGAAUCCCCCUUGAUGAAGAUGGAAAUGUCAGAUACCCCCAGUUCACGGCCAGGUUUGAUUCCUGGUAUGCAGCGUAUGCGUUUUAUUUCUCAUUUGUGAGUGGAAUUAUUUUUAAUCUAAAAGGCUCACAUAACAUUUCCAGACUGAUUCGCAUUUCUUAAAUGUGCUCCUUUAAGACGCAUUUCUUGCAUGGAGUAUGCUGAUUGAUUACAUUUAAAAUCAGCUGAUGUUAUGGGUAUAUACUGUUUAUAAUUUAGUUGCUCUUUAGAUGCUAAUUACAUAUUUUACAAGAAAGACUUCAAAGGCAUGUAACGUACCUUCGUGCUUUCUGUAGGCUGGGAAAUAUGACAGACUUCUAAAUAAAAGCUAACUAUUUCCAAA